rnacentral:tRNA from 3 species
GGGGUCUUAGCUCAGCUGGGAGAGCACCUGCCUUACAAGCAGGGGGUCACAGGUUCGAGCCCUGUAGGCCCCA